UUGAUAGUGCUGAGCUGCCUUAAAAGUACAUUUGAAGAAAUGACUUGACUUGCUCGUCGCGUAUCUCGAAAACUUGGCGCCAUUAAAUUUCUGGAAACUGCGAGAGGAUGUAUUUCUUAAUUAAGUGCGAGCAAUAUUAUGUAUUGCAUAAAAAAAAAUUAAAAUAGUGGAAGGAAGUAAAAUGUGCAUUGCAAAAUUUAGCAAAGGCAGUUUCGAAGCGGAGAUUAUUGAUUCGCGAGAAGAUCGUGAAAUACUGGACCAGCAAUGUCAAUAACUUAAUAAGGACUUACUAGAAGCAGAUACUAAGUUAAAUGAAAGUGAAGCAACAACGAACGAUGAUAAAUCCGAGGAGCCAUUAGCAGCUUAUAAGUCAAAUACUGACACAACAAAUAAAAGCAACCUGGGACAAUUUGAAGCUUUCGGUAUGUGUGCAAUUAUUAAAACUAAGCCAGGACUAAAUAAAAAAUCAUUUGCAUUACACUUCUGACAGAGUUAUGUUUUGUAAUGUAUUUAUUAUUAUAUGUUAAGUUUUAAAUAUGCAUAAUUGUGAGUACCACAGUUUUAAGGCCAGAGUCGGAAAAUAUCAAAAGAUUUAUAGCCUUAUUAGUGUUGAAAACAAUUUAAUUAUCAUUUGUAUUAUGAGUUAAUCACAUAUGCAAAAUCAGAUUAAUUUAUUAUAAAAAGCUACACAAAAGACACAAUCGGUCAUUACUUUUCUAGGAAUAGUGUAUUCUCUUGUACGCUAUAUGCCU
rnacentral:sRNA from 1 species